UUGUGCGUUACCCUUUCAAUGAUGUCCGCCAAGUCGGUUAGAAGACGGAGACGUAUUUUUUAACAGCGUGUUGUGUCGCUCAUACUGACUCUAGCGAGACAUGACAAGACCUUUGUGUUUACUCCAGCCCCAGCCUUGUGAAAUUAUAUUAUAUCUCUAUUUUGGUACUGUAGCCAUUAGUAAAACACCUUACCCAGGGUUUUAGAAGAAUAUGUUUUAACGAGUUUUAACUAUUGGAAAACACAACGUGAAGUCCAAAGUGAAGUAGAAAUAUUGAAUUCAAAUUAGGUACCAGAGGGUGAGGUAACCGAUAACCUGCCAGGCGGAUUGAUACCGGGAGAUCAUUGUUAAAACUUGAGCUGGUUACAACAGUUAGAAGACUUCUAUUCUCUACCGGACUUCACUUUUCCUAGAAACUGAUUGUAUCGAAUACUUUCUUAUCAAAGAAUUCGUUUAAAUUAUCGAAUUUCUUGAUUUCUUUUCACUUUUCCUACAAACAAAUUAUAACCUUACAUUACGGCAAGAUGCAGUUUAUUAUUUUAAUGCAUCGAUUGCUCCCCAUGAAACUAACAUUUUAUUUUGAACGCUUGCUGUUGGCAACAAUAGUUGUUAAAACAAUUUCCAGAUACAAGGUAACUGGGGUUCAUUUUGGCACAGAUCUAUAAAUUAACAUAAUCAUCUUGAAGUAUGUACUAUUUGUUAUCAGAUGAAAUUAUACAAAAGAGGAACUUCGAUAAAUUUGAGUUUCACGCUUAUAAUUUCAUAUUCAAUAAACUUGAUCUACUAAAUGUUUCUGAUAUUUUCAACUUUCUCAUGGGCACGUUUUAUUUCAAUGAAACAGAUAUAUCGUUUUAUCGAAAAUCAGAAUCCUACGCAAUGCCACAUAUGCAUAUGCACUGAGUAUCUGGGAACUGUUUCAACAACUACCGAUGCAAACAGUAUCUAAGAGAUGAUCACCAUUUAUAUCAACAUUUACACAUUCUCCCCCCCCCCCCGCAUCUUCUAAAAUAAAUUGACUCUGGAAAAACUGGGUCGCAUAAAGUCUCCUCUGGGGUGGUGAUCACUCCCCCAUGAGCCACAGGACUAGUAUCCCCUUCUUCAUUAGACCAGAUGGAGCAGUAGAAAAGUAGGACGUUUCACAUUCCAUCAUUUAGUACCUACCAGUCGAUCUGUUCAAUAAUAUAUCCCUCUCCAUUUUGCACACUAUUAAAACUGAAUGUUCAGAUUAAAACAAAAGGCAAUAAUUAUUGUUUUGAAACAGUCGACAUCUAUUUUAUGAACAUAGGCUAAAGAAUAAAAAGUAAGA